UACGUAGGGGGCAAGCGUUGUCCGGAAUCAUUGGGCGUAAAGCGCGUGUAGGCGGUUCGGUAAGUCCGCUGUGAAAGUCGGGGGCUCAACCCUCGGAUGCCGGUGGAUACUGUCGAGCUUGAGUACGGAAGAGGCGAGUGGAAUUCCGAGUGUAGAGGUGAAAUUCGUAGAUAUUCGGAGGAACACCAGUGGCGAAGGCGGCUCACUGGUCCAGUUACUGACG
rnacentral:rRNA from 1 species